CCUACGGGAGGCAGCAGUGAGGAAUAUUGGUCAAUGGGCGCUAGCCUGAACCAGCCAAGUAGCGUGAAGGAUGACUGCCCUAUGGGUUGUAAACUUCUUUUAUAUGGGAAUAAAGUGCAGUAUGUAUACUGCUUUGCAUGUACCUUAUGAAUAAGGAUCGGCUAACUCCGUGCCAGCAGCCGCGGUAAUACGGAGGAUCCGAGCGUUAUCCGGAUUUAUUGGGUUUAAAGGGAGCGUAGGCGGGUUGUUAAGUCAGUUGUGAAAGUUUGCGGCUCAACCGUAAAAUUGCAGUUGAUACUGGCAGCCUUGAGUACAGUAGAGGUAGGCGGAAUGCGUGGUGUAGCGGUGAAAUGCUUAGAUAUCACGAAGAACUCCGAUUGCGAAGGCAGCCUGCUGGACUGUAACUGACGCUGAUGCUCGAAAGUGUGGGUAUCAAACAGGAUUAGAUACCCCAGUAGUC
rnacentral:rRNA from 1 species